rnacentral:rRNA from 1 species
UUUAAGCUAAAAGGCGCUUCGGCGUCACUACAGGAUGGGCCCGCGGUGCAUUAGCUAGUUGGUGGGGUAACGGCCUACCAAGGCAACGAUGCAUAGCCGACCUGAGAGGGUGAUCGGCCACAUUGGGACUGAGACACGGCCCAAACUCCUACGGGAGGCAGCAGUAGGGAAUCUUCCACAAUGGACGAAAGUCUGAUGGAGCAACGCCGCGUGAGUGAUGAAGGUUUUCGGAUCGUAAAACUCUGUUGUAAGGGAAGAACAAGUGCGUUAGGUAAUGAACGCACCUUGACGGUACCUUAUUAGAAAGCCACGSYUAACUWCGUGCCCAGCAGCCCGCCGGUAAUACCGUAGGUGGCCAAGCGUUGUCCGGAUUUAAUUGGGCGUAAAGCGCGCGCCAAGGUGGUUUUCUUAAGUCUUGAUGUGAAAAGCCCMCCGGCUCAACCGUGGAGGGUCAUUGGAAACUGGGAGACUUGAGUGCAGAAGAGGAUAGUGGAAUUCCAAGUGUAGCGGUGAAAUGCGUAGAGAUUUGGAGGAACACCAGUGGCGAAGGCGACUGUCUGGUCUGUAACUGACACUGAGGCGCGAAAGCGUGGGGAGCAAACAGGAUUAGAUACCCUGGUAGUCCACGCCGUAAACGAUGAGUGCUAAGUGUUAGGGGGUUUCCGCCCCUUAGUGCUGCAGCUAACGCAUUAAGCACUCCGCCUGGGGAGUACGACCGCAAGGUUGAAACUCAAAGGAAUUGACGGGGGCCCGCACAAGCGGUGGAGCAUGUGGUUUAAUUCGAAGCAACGCGAAGAACCUUACCAGGUCUUGACAUCCCAAUGACCGUCUUAGAGAUAAGAUUUUCCCUUCGGGGACAUUGGUGACAGGUGGUGCAUGGUUGUCGUCAGCUCGUGUCGUGAGAUGUUGGGUUAAGUCCCGCAACGAGCGCAACCCUUAUUCUUAGUUGCCAUCAUUUAGUUGGGCACUCUAAGGAGACUGCCGGUGACAAACCGGAGGAAGGUGGGGAUGACGUCAAAUCAUCAUGCCCCUUAUGACCUGGGCUACACACGUGCUACAAUGGACGGUACAAAGAGCUGCAAGCCCGCGAGGGUUAGCCCAAUCUCAUAAAACCGUUCUCAGUUCGGAUUGUAGUCUGCAACUCGACUACAUGAAGCCGGAAUCGCUAGUAAUCGCG